AGUCCUCUCCAUCAGCUCCAGUUUCCAUCUGUUCAGUGUGUCUUUGAUGAAGCUGUGAGGACUGAGGUUUCUCUUCAUCAUCUUCACUCUUCACAGGGACAGGAGUGAAUGUGAACUCCUGGUCCUCUUUAAUGUGUGGAGGCUCUGGGUCCUCCUGUUCCUCUUUAAUGUGUGGAGGCUCUGGGUCCUCCUGGUCCUCUUUAAUUNGUGGGGGCUCUGGGUCCUCCUGUUCCUCUUUAAUGUGUGGAGGCUCUGGUUCCUCCUGUUCCUCUUUAAUGUGUGGAGGCUCUGGGUCCUCCUGGUCCUCUUUAAUGUGUGGAGGCUCUGGUUCCUCCUGGUCCUCUUUAAUGUGUGGAGGCUCUGGGUCCUCCUGUUCCUCUUUAAUGUGUGGAGGCUCUGGUUCCUCCUGGUCCUCUUUAAUGUGUGGAGGCUCUGGGUCCUCCUGGUCCUCUUUAAUGUGUGGAGGCU